CCGUAGCUCAGCAGGAUAGAGCAACGGACUUCUAAUCCGUAGGUCGCAGGUUCGAGUCCUGCCGGG
rnacentral:tRNA from 1 species